CUUCUCAUGUGGUUCCCUGUCAGAG
rnacentral:misc_RNA from 1 species